rnacentral:sRNA from 1 species
GUAUUUGAAACAGACCGAAUUUCCUCCUCGAUGUGGGAUCAGGUUGACUUUUCGAGACUAGCGGGUAUUUCUUUUUAAUGACUCCAGUGCCUUUUUAUUAUUGCUGUUAUUGAGGUUGAGGGAGAAGAGAUCGGUCUAAAUUCUGGCUGGGUAAGUGGGGGGAUUCUCGGCGAUGAGAAACGGGGGACUUAGAAGCCGGAGGAAAAUCAGCAGCCCCACAUCUCCACUUCUCCAGUCCCCCCUACUCUCCACGCGUGACCUCCAGUGGAGACCCCAGGCGGCAGCAUCAGUAUUUGAUCGGCCCUUCGUCAGCACGCUGCCAGCCCUGGCCGGCUGGGUUCGCCAGGCAUCACCCGCUCGGCUCUGAAGCGGACGCCUGGCCCUGCACCGGGCUUUGGAAGGACCCUCUCUGCGCUCGCCCCCUCCCCAGGGUGGCUCCGCUUCCGAGCCCGGGCGCAGUGCCCACCAUGCGCGGCUGCCUGCGGCUCGCGCUGCUCUGCGCGCUGCCCUGGCUCCUGCUGGCGGCGUCGCCCGGGCACACGGCGAAAUCCCCCAGGCAGCCCCCGGCACCGCGCCGCGACCCCUUUGACGCUGCCAGGGGCGCCGAUUUCGAUCAUGUCUACAGCGGGGUGGUGAACCUCAGCACCGAGAACAUCUACUCUUUCAACUACACCAGCCAGCCCGACCAGGUGACCGCCGUGAGGGUGUAUGUGAACAGUUCCUCUGAGAAUCUCAACUACCCGGUCCUUGUUGUGGUUCGCCAGCAGAAAGAGGUGCUGUCCUGGCAGGUUCCUCUGCUCUUCCAAGGACUAUACCAGAGGAGCUACAACUAUCAAGAAGUGAGCCGCACCUUGUGUCCCUCAGAAGCAACCAAUGAGACGGGACCCUUGCAGCAACUGAUAUUUGUAGAUGUCGCAUCCAUGGCACCCCUGGGUGCUCAGUACAAACUGCUAGUUACCAAGCUGAAGCACUUCCAGCUCCGGACAAAUGUUGCCUUUCACUUUACUGCCAGCCCCUCUCAACCUCAGUAUUUUCUAUACAAGUUUCCCAAAGACGUGGACUCAGUUAUCAUUAAAGUGGUGUCUGAAAUGGCUUAUCCAUGUUCUGUUGUCUCAGUCCAGAAUAUCAUGUGCCCGGUGUAUGAUCUCGACCACAAUGUGGAAUUUAAUGGUGUCUAUCAGUCCAUGACCAAGAAAGCUGCCAUCACGCUACAGGUGAGACAUUGCUUCUGUGGGCAUUAUUGCCAAUGGUAAUGCUCAAUAGAUAGUGUACUGACUGGGCCAGCAUCCAAAAGGGAUGGCCAUCCAUGAUGUGCCUAGGAUCUCUUUCCUUUCUGAUUGGUUUAAAAACUAAUAUGUCUGGCCAGGCGCAGUGGCUCACACCUGUAAUCCCAGCACUUUGGGAGGCCGAGGCGAGUGGAUCACCUAAAGUCAGGAGUUUGAGACCAGCCUGGCCAAUAUGGUGAAACCCUGUCUCCACUAAAAAUACAAAAAUUAGCUGGGCUUGGUGGUGCACACCUGCAAUCCCAGCUACUCAGGAGGCUGAGGCAGGAGAAUCUCUUGAACCCAAGAGGCAGAGGUUGAAGUGAGCCAAGAUCACAGCACUGCACUCCAGCCUGGGCAACAAGAGCAAAACUCCAUUGAAA